rnacentral:rRNA from 1 species
GUAGGUGGCAAGCGUUGUCCGGAAUUAUUGGGGCGUAAAGCGCGCGCAGGCGGUCCUUUAAGUCUGAUGUGAAAGCCCACGGGCUCAACCGUGGAGGGUCAUUGGAAACUGGGGGACUUGAGUACAGAAGAGGAAAGCGGAAUUCCACGUGUAGCGGUGAAAUGCGUAGAGAUGUGGAGGAACACCAGUGGCGAAGGCGGCUUUCUGGUCUGUAACUGACGCUGAGGCGCGAAAGCGUGGGGAGCAAACAGGAUUAGAUACCCUGGUAGUCCACGCCGUAAACGAUGAGUGCUAAGUGUUAGAGGGUUUCCGCCCUUUAGUGCUGCAGCUAACGCAUUAAGCACUCCGCCUGGGGAGUACGGCCGCAAAGGCUG